ACGACAUGAUGGGGACAUUUUCUGAUGAGGUCCUUUGAUCUUUCCCAUGCCUCAUGGAACUGUUCACCAUCUUGUUGGGAUAAACUAGUGAGAGCUCGCCUUAUCUG
rnacentral:snoRNA from 1 species